rnacentral:tRNA from 1 species
GUUUUAAUAGUUUAAUAAAAAAAACAUUGGUCUUGUAAACCAAAAAAAAGGUACCUUUUAAAACU